UGGGGAUAUUGCACAAUGGGCGCAAGCCUGAUGCAGCCAUGCCGCGUGUGUGAAGAAGGCCUUCGGGUUGUAAAGCACUUUCAGUCAGGAGGAAAGGUUAGUAGUUAAUACCUGCUAGCUGUGACGUUACUGACAGAAGAAGCACCGGCUAACUCCGUGCCAGCAGCCGCGGUAAUACGGAGGGUGCGAGCGUUAAUCGGAAUUACUGGGCGUAAAGCGUACGCAGGCGGUUUGUUAAGCGAGAUGUGAAAGCCCCGGGCUCAACCUGGGAACUGCAUUUCGAACUGGCAAACUAGAGUGUGAUAGAGGGUGGUAGAAUUUCAGGUGUAGCGGUGAAAUGCGUAGAGAUCUGAAGGAAUACCGAUGGCGAAGGCAGCCACCUGGGUCAACACUGACGCUCAUGUACGAAAGCGUGGGGAGCAAACGGGAUUAGAUACCCCGGUAGUCCACGCCGUAAACGAUGUCUACUAGAAGCUCGGAGCCUCGGUUCUGUUUUUCAAAGCUAACGCAUUAAGUAGACCGCCUGGGGAGUACGGCCGCAAGGUUAAAACUCAAAUGAAUUGACGGGGGCCGGGCAC
rnacentral:rRNA from 1 species